UACGAAGGGGGCGAGCGUUGUUCGGAUUUACUGGGCGUAAAGGGCGCGUAGGCGGCAGAGCAAGUCGAGUGUGAAAGCCCCGGGCUCAACCUGGGAAUGGCGCUCGAGACUGUUGUGCUUGAGUUCGGGAGAGGAGCGUGGAAUUCCCAGUGUAGAGGUGAAAUUCGUAGAUAUUGGGAAGAACACCGGUGGCGAAGGCGGCGCUCUGGACCGAUACUGACGCUGAGGCGCGAAAGCGUGGGGAGCAAACAGG
rnacentral:rRNA from 1 species